AUGGACUUUCGGAAAGCAUUUGACUCUCUAUCCUGGGCCUCGCUCGAUAAAAUUCUUCUACUUCGAGGCUUCCCCGCCCAAUUCCGACGAUGGAUCUCCAAUAUCUUGACUACGGGCAAAUCCUAUGUGCUUCUUAACGGCGUCCCAGGCCCAUGGAUUUCUUGCAAAAAUGGGCUGCGACAGGGGGACCCCAUUUUCCCCUUCCUGUUCAUUAUCGUAGCAGAUCUUCUACAACAAAUGAUCUCCAAAACCCCCCAUCUUUCAUGCCUCCACCACCCCCUCCUCACACAUCUGCCACCCACUACACUACAGUACGCCGACGACACCUUGAUAAUUGCUACUGCCUCCCCCUCGACGGCCACUCUUCUCAAAUCCAUCCUAAAUGACUUCGCGUCUGCCACCGGGUUACAAAUCAACUUCUCCAAGACCUACUUCAUCCCUCUCCACACGUCCCCUCCGGAUCAGCACACCAUUGCUGCCACCCUUGGCUGCCCCGUCUCCUCCUUCCCUCAAACCUACCUUGGCCUGCCUCUCUCCCCCCUUCGCCCACCGCCAAACUUGUUUCUGCCAAUUCUAGAACGUUGCAAAAAAUUCCUUGCAGGUUGGAGAGCCAAGAUGCUCUCUCGUGGCGACAGACUGAUUCUAAUUACAACAGUUCUCGACUCCCUACUCACUUAUUUCAUGUCUAUUUUUGUCUUUCCCAAAAAAGUUCUAAAACAGAUCGAUGCUCUUAGACGUGCUUUCUUCUAG
rnacentral:rRNA from 1 species